AUACGUAGGGUGCGAGCGUUGUCCGGAAUUACUGGGCGUAAAGAGCUCGUAGGUGGUUUGUCGCGUCGUCUGUGAAAUUCCGGGGCUUAACUCCGGGCGUGCAGGCGAUACGGGCAUAACUUGAGUACUGUAGGGGAGACUGGAAUUCCUGGUGUAGCGGUGAAAUGCGCAGAUAUCAGGAGGAACACCGGUGGCGAAGGCGGGUCUCUGGGCAGUAACUGACGCUGAGGAGCGAAAGCAUGGGUAGCGAACAGGAUUAGAUACCCUGGUAGUCCAUGCCGUAAACGGUGGGCGCUAGGUGUAGGGGUCUUCCACGACUUCUGUGCCGUAGCUAACGCAUUAAGCGCCCCGCCUGGGGAGUACGGCCGCAAGGCUAAAACUCAAAUGAAUCAACGGGG
rnacentral:rRNA from 1 species